GCAUGUGAAGGCAACCUGACCGCGACAUCUCUCACCCCACUGAACGCCAGGGUUGAUCCAGCUGCUCUGGCUGGCCAGGCAGGUGACCCUUUCCUCGCUCACCACUCCAUGUGCAUCCCUCCUGAAGCUGCAGCUGCACACUUGGUGGAAGAGGACGACCACCCCUGACAGAGGAGGAGCUUUUCCUCAGUCAAGGAUAUAGGAGCAUCUGCACUCUUCUGCUGGAAUCUCCAAACAAGCUCCAAAAAAAAAAAAACAAAACAGUAAGAGCCAGGAGUGGUGGCACACGUCUGUAAUCCCAGCACUCGGAAGGCUGAGGCAG
rnacentral:snRNA from 1 species